GACGAACGCUGGCGGCGUGCUUAACACAUGCAAGUCGAACGGAAAGGCCCUGCUUUUGUGGGGUGCUCGAGUGGCGAACGGGUGAGUAACACGUGAGUAACCUGCCCUUGACUUUGGGAUAACUUCAGGAAACUGGGGCUAAUACCGGAUAGGAGCUCCUGCUGCACGGUGGGGGUUGGAAAGUUUCGGCGGUUGGGGAUGGACUCGCGGCUUAUCAGCUUGUUGGUGGGGUAGUGGCUUACCAAGGCUUUGACGGGUAGCCGGCCUGAGAGGGUGACCGGCCACAUUGGGACUGAGAUACGGCCCAGACUCCUACGGGAGGCAGUAGUGGGGAAUAUUGCACAAUGGGCGGAAGCCUGAUGCAGCAACGCCGCGUGCGGGAUGACGGCCUUCGGGUUGUAAACCGCUUUCGCCUGUGACGAAGCGUGAGUGACGGUAAUGGGUAAAGAAGCACCGGCUAACUACGUG
rnacentral:rRNA from 1 species